CUUACAUGUCUACUAUGUCCCUGAAACUUUCAUAAAUUCUGGAGGAGUCGAUAUGAAGGAAACAACGGCUCUUGCUUUUAAGAUGUUUAUAAUCCAAACAGGUCAGUCAUCAACCGAAUGUGCUAAAUGAACUGAGACUAAUUAGGAACAUUCCUUGGACUCAUGGUUUCUGUUCCAUACACUUCUUUUCAAAUUAAUACACACUAAUUAACAUUUCUCACACCAUAUCAUGACAGAUAUGUGCUAAGACAGUUUAACCUUCUUGUUUAUUUUUGUUUAUUUAUAUUAUAUAUCGUUUUGUUGUAAACCAGGAGAAAUGAGAAAGAGUGUGAGCUCCUUUUUCACUUCAGAAAGGACUUAGUAUAGGUUUUUUAAAUCUCAAUUUCUUCCCUACCUCACCGUCUUCAAAAUGUCCUUCUCUUUUUCCUCAUCUAAUGAAAAGGUAGCAUAUCUGAAUUACUUACUAGGCUUUUGCAAGCUCAGUUGAAAUUAUAAAAGAGAUGAUGUUGCUUUGGGGAAAAAGAUGAAUCUGUUCGAAAAGAAGGUGAGACAUAUGCAGGAACACAGGUAUUUGUAACUUACUCAGGAUUACAAAGAAGAAAUUAAGAAGGACAUCCAAAGUUGCUCUUGGCAUCACAGUUAGACUGAGUGCUCAGACGGUUCAUCCAAGGCAGUAAGAAAUAAAGUUUUUUAUUACUAUAUUGAUGGCAGCUACAUUUCUAGCUGCAUGCUUACACUUCAAGAAAAAUGCCUGAAUGAUGCCUCUCAUUUUUGUUCCUUGAAACGAAUCCAAGAAUGUUUCCCUAAUUUACCUAUCUGACUCAAUUUUCCAAGAUAGAGACUGAGUGAAACAGGUAAUAUCGGCCCAUAAUUUUAACAAGGGUCACAGAAGAGUACACUGGCAGCUUUUCAAAACCAGAGAGAAUAAAUGUUAGAUUAGUAAGUGACACUUGUAGACUAUUAGAAUUUAAUGAGUAUACUAUAUUUAGACAGAUAUGACAGAUGUUAAUCUCUGAUAUUAAUAAAAAUGCCUAAAAGUUCAUUUUGGAGAAAGAUCUGAGUAUGAACCCAGACUAUGACAUAUCCUGGUUAUGUAAACUCUGGCAAGUUUCUUAAGUAUCUAGACUUGAGUCUCUAAGUCUGCAGAAUGGGCCCAAUGGUAUCCACCUCCCAGGGUUAUUUAAAUAAGAAUGCAUACAAAGUGUUCAAUAAAGUUCUGGGCACAUAAAGAUUGUAUUAUUCCAAGGCCUCGAUAUUCCCACACAGCUGCUAUGCAUUGCUUGAAUAGCCAGUGCUGCUGAGGAAUGCAGAAAUGUUGAUCAAUUUUCUAGCAAUACAAGUCUGUCAACAUAAAUUUCCAAAUACCAAAAAGAGCACAUAUUAACUUAAAUACUGAGAUUUAUAAAUCUAUAAAUAACUUUUUUUUUUUAUAGGGUCUCACUCUUUUGCCCAGGCUGGAGUGCAUGGGCGCAAUCUUGGCUCACUGCAGCAUCGACCUCCCAGACUGAAUCGCUCCUCCCACCUCAGCCUCAGGAGUAGCUGGGACUACAGGCGCAUGUCACCAUGCCAGGCUAAGUUUUGUGUUUUUGGUAGAGACAGGGUUUCACCAUGUUGCUCAGGCUAGUCUCAAACUCCUGGGCUCAAGCAAUCUGCCCGCCGCAGCUUCCCGAAGUGCUGGGAUUCCAUGUGUGAGCCAUCGCUCUCAGCCUGAUAAUUUUCUUAAAAUUGCCAGUGCUACUGUAAGAGACAUAGUUAAGUUUAUAUUAAAAGGAAAACCAAGGUAUUGCUUAGUUGUCAUAAAGUUGUGUGAAGAUUAAGUGAAAUAUGUUAGUGGUUUUCUCACAGAGUAUACACACAGAGAGUUACACUUUACACAGAAAUCUAUAUAUCCCACAAGUAAACUGAUUUUAAGGGAAUCAUUUUCUAGUUUCCCAAUUUCCAUAUGUAUGAUGUCUUAAAUUUUGUAUGCCUGAGAAACAAUGCAAUCAAGGCAUCCCGCUGGUUCUUCUGUCUCAACUCCUCUGUUUCAACAGUCUUUCCCUUACUUUCGAAAAAAAGCAUAUUUUUCAUUGAUCUCAAAUAUUACAAUAACAUAUACAUAGAAUAUAAAAAUUUGGGGAUACCAAACAAAAUAAUUCAAAAUAUUGGUGUUGGUUUUGAGAAAAUGAUUGAUUCUAAUGAUUGAGUGACAAAAAUUCUUGCAAAUCAGGUAAAACCCAGGUUUCUGAUUUCAAUAAAAUAGAAAGAGCAAGUCAUCAAGUUGCUUAAUCACUUUUGGUGAAGAUCGCUAACUAAUUUUAGGCUUACAAUGGAGAAGGUGUCCAAAUAUUUAGGUAAAAUGACUAUAAUAAACUCCUUCCAGUUUAUUUAUUUAGAUAAACAAGGAUUUCCAAUGUCUACACCUAAAAAAAAGAAUAAAACUGAUGAUAAACUCUAUUUAAGAAUAAUAUGUCUCGAUAGAUACAUGAUCAAAUUAUUUAAAAAGCCAUAUGUUUCUCAUUAAUAAAUGAAUCUUCAAUAAAAUUCACUUUUAUUUUGAAUAAUUGUCAAUAUUUAUGAUAUAUUCAUGCUGUUUUGAUAAAGUAUAAAUUAUAAAUUCUAACAAUACAGGAAAUCAUUUAUCAUUUAAAGACUGAAUCUAGGAAUUUUUAAAAUGUAAAAGUCCAUUUAUAGACAUAUAUUUUGUUAAAGAGUACUUCCAAAGAGGAUCCUUAAGAUGUUCAAAUUUUAAAAAAAACAUAAAAAUAGGAUAAAAUUUGAUGGAGAAAUUGUUUUAAAAUAUGAGUUUAAGGAGGAAAAAAGAGGCAAAACUUCCCACUAUUUGUUAGAGCAUGUUUAUGAAUUUUUAAAUGGGUGAUGAUAAAUAUAAAAAAGCACAGUGGUGUUAUUUAUUCCUAGUAGGUUUAUUUAAAAAAUGCUGAAACAAUUUCAUUUAAAGAAUUCAUAUUUGCAAAACAUGGGGGAUUAUGUCUUUUGCUAGCACUUGAACUUACUGCUAAAAUUCUCAGGUCAACUAAAAUGAGUGAGGAGUAUAUGGUUUAUAACGUUUUAAUUGUAGGGUAUUUGUAAGCAUAACAAUUUGAAAACCACAGAAAUAAUGUACUGUAUAUAAAAAUCUUCAGUACACUUUCCAAUCCAACAUUUUUUCACUGAAUUGAAUUGAAACGUUGGACUCUCCAAAAGCAUAGCAAGUAAAGUUAAGCUGGCCUGACCAAAUUCCUUUCUCUUCUCUAUUCUGAUAACAACUCUUAUCAUCACUCCUGUAUAACCCUGGCAGUCUCCACCUUCAAGUAUCAGACACCAUGUAUGUGUCUCAAAGGUUUACUAUGCCCCACACUUAAGGACCUCUUGGAAUUUGAGGUGUUUUCUACCAGCCAUUCACAUGGUACUAAAUUUUUGGGAAUGCACAUCAGGACAUUUGUCUGUCAGAGAAGGUUUCAAGCAGCUUCCAGGAUUGAUGAAUAAUAUCAUGAACAGUCUAUAAAGAUGACUUUGGAAGAGCUCAGUGCAUAGUGUAACAGUGCUAACAGCAGGGACACUGCAUUGAAAUAGCAUAUCUCCAAAUCAUUGAUUAUCUCCUCCCUUCCACUAAUAAAAGGAUAGCAUUGUCUGGGGAUGGCAAGAAAGCAGUAAAUUAAGAGAGAAGAGCAGUAAGCUACCAGCACUGCUGUUUCCCACACUUUAAGGGUUUGAGAACAUAACUAGGUAAAUUUGCAUGUAAGCACUGUCCUAGAAGAGAGCUGUUAUUUCUCAAUAUGCUAGUGUCUAUACAAAGUUAAGAAGAAAAACAUAACAUUUCACAAUCGAGAACGUAAUUUUAUCCUUGCCUAACUCACACCUGUUUCCUUUUCAAAGGACUAGUGAUAUCCAUAAAUUGUCUUCAAUGGCACUCAUAAUAAAUUCUCUUUGCAUAAACAAUGGUUUCCACUCAACAUUUAAUCUUAAAAGAGUGAAUGUUAUUCCCUACUCUGAGACCUCAAAGACUGUGUUCCACUUUUUCUAAGAAUUCUGACUUCAUUUACUAUAAUUUGUUUCAGAUACUUAACUGUGGGCAGAGAUUCUUAUUUAUUUAUCAAAUACUAUACCCCUCUAAUUUUACCAUUGCUUAAAGCGUUUGACAUUAUUUUGGAAAUAAGAUAUUCUAACUAAAAUGCUCGAUGAUACUAAUCUUUCUUCAUCUACUGUUCUCAAAGUGUGGUUCCCAGAUCGGUAGCAAAAGCAUCAUCUGGAACUUGUUAGCAGUGUACAUUCUGAUACAUAAGGCCCUCCAAGCCUUAUGUAUCAGAAACUCUGGAGAAGAGGUCCAGCAAUCUGUGUCACAACAAGCCUUCCAGUUUCUGAUGCAUGCUAAAGUCUGAGAACCACUGAUCUACUGGAAUCUCACCUCACCAAGAGGAUGUUGAUAUGCAAAAAUUGGCUACAGUUUACAAGUUAAAUAAAAAUAUUUUUCUUUACUAACAUAGAUGAAUCCUGAUCCAUAAAAGACUCAUAAAUAUAAAUCUUAAAUCCCAUAAAUUAAGAAUCUGAUUUCUUCUUAUGUAAUCAGACAUUUGCUUCUAGCAGGUUUCAAGAUCUUCAACUACGGAGAGGCAAUGACAUUUUGAUAGUCCUCUAGAUUUAAGGAAUAAAUAUGCUGGCUGUAUAGUCAGAGUAAUGCUAGAGAGUUUGGUCUGAUGCUUAGGGAUUUAGGACGACGAAUGGAUAGAGAUGGUGAGGAAUCUCAUUCCAGUCAUGCUCUCCUUUCCUAAUUUCCCUUUUCACUGUUUGGUCUUCUCCCCCUUUUCCUUAGGGAGUCGAGUGAUUGAUAGCCUAAUCCAAUGACUGUAUUACAGCUGCCUCAACUAGGACUCUUUUCCUUAUCAUUAGCAGUUAGCCUAUGGUUAAAUUCACAGCUCACUGCUUGGUACAGCCCCUGAGAUUUAAGGGUCUGGCCUUUAGAAAAUAUUUAACAUAAAACUGAAAUCUUGACAUACUGAGAACUCAGUUCUCUGCAAGGCUUCCUUAAUUAAUCCAAUGUACUGUACCAUUGUUCUGUAUGAGACUGUGACAUGGUGAACUGUUUCUGAAGCUUACAGAGAUGUGUAGUUCUAAAUUAAACAGCCACUGACGUGUACCUACACUGAUUUUUUAGUACAGUAGAUAUGCAUGAAUCUGUGAAUAUUUAAAUUCAAGCUCAAACAGUGACACAAUACUCUCUAGUUUUACUUUCAUAAUAGAACAUUUUUUGAUUAAUUUCAAGCUUGAAAUCAUUCUUUAUGAAAAAACACACACAGAGGAAAGAAAUUUAAUAAUUCAUUACCACUGCUGCAAAGGUAAGUUUUCUUAAUAUGCUUGUCAGAGUUCUUUGGUUUACAAAGUCUAUCAAAUAUUUUCUUAGGAACUGGAACAGACAUUAAUUUAUUUUCCUAAUUUUUAACCAAAGGAAAAUAUAUAUAAUAUCCAGGUACCCAUGAAUUUGUUGGCUCUUAAAUACUAUUUGGUUCUACCAUUUAUCUGCAGGACAAUAGUUAUCUUAAAAUACCUAAGGAAAGGAUGUAGACCUUGAUCUAUGCUUUAAACCUUUGCCCUUGCUCCAGUCUGUCCAUGAGCUGUAAGCAUCUAUGAAUAUGGCAGCUGAGUCCCAGAUGAAAAAUUAUGCAUCUCAUAAACUGCUAUUCUGCUGAAAUGUCAAGCCAAGGCAAGGCUGUACCUCAGACUCAGCACUUGGCAUUUUCCUUCUGUCUGCUUUGUUGCCAUGAAGCAAACAUGAACAGUGAAGAUUUGUGUAGGGCAGGUAGCAGGCGAGCUCACUGUCAAAAAUCUAUUAUUAGGGCCCUGGUCUCCUGCACAGACCAACGAUGGCUAAACAGUGAGAUACUGAGGCUCUGAGAAAGGCAACAUAAUGAAAGAGGGGAUUCUUUGUCAAUCUGUACAUGAAUAUAUUCAAAUGAGCAUUAUUUAAAUGAGAAUAUUUCUAAUGGUAAGCCUCUCUCAACCAAAGUGAUAAUUUAUAAUAAAAUUGUAAUCUAGCAUCUGUAUUUGAAAUGCCUACUUUUGACUGUUCUGCAAAUAUAGUACAUACAUAUUUGUAUAACAAGUUCUUUAAUAGUUUGAUCAGUUAAACUUGUAAUAAGCUAAGAAUGUUUUUACAUAGGUGAAUAACAGGCCAGAUUUUUUGCAUUACUUUUGUCCAUACAAAAAAAGGAAAAAAGUGAGUAUAAAAUGGAAGGCUCUCCUUUUAAUUAUUCUUUUUGCAUGAAUUACUACAUUUUUAUCCAUUUAAAUUCUAUCUUUAUCUAUCAGGUUAUUUUAGAUCUUCAAUGUUAAAGCCUAAGCUCUUAUCGAUCAAGAUGAUUACAAUAGAUAGCUUAAAUUUGAUGACAGAUAAUAGGCAUGUUUUUCUAAAAGCAAUUUAUGCAUCGAUAAUCAUGUGAUUGACACAUAAAAAAAUCCAGCACAUUAAAAACAACUUCCCAAUUAAAAAAAUACUAACACUGUUUUUUAUGAUGGAAUUGUAAUGUGUGGUGUAAGAACUUAAAGCAAUCCUGCCAAAAUCUUCAGUUGCUGGCAUGCGUGAAAAUAGUUAUUUAAAGAAAAAUGUAACUAAAACUUCUGAGUUUGUAAUCUGUUUUGUUUUGCCAUCUCCCUGAUUUUACACAAAUAUUCACUAAUAAAUACAACAAAAUAAGUGUAUGAUUAGAGUGGGUUACACUGGAUUUGUGUUUACGUAAUGCCCAGUAGCACAGUGUAUGCUGCCAAGUUAUUAUUGCAUUCUAACAAUUCACGCCUAAGUAACUAUCUUAAAAACACAUAAACUAUGCGAUGUGAAGUCGAUGCCUAAAAUCCCUUUCUAAGCUACUAUAUUGAUUCACAUUUGUGCAAGUUUUCUAAAUUAUACACUUUGUACUCACUUCUGGCCCUACACUGACGCAGAUCUACAAAUUACUAGCUAAAUUUCUAACUUGUACCUUCUUUUAUUAGUAUUUCCUAUGUUGGAUUUACAAUGAAAACACCUUUAGGAAGCUAGUAACCAUACAAGCCAGUGUCCAAUAUCUCACACAGCUAGAUUUCAAAUCAUUCAUUAUUCACUUGUAGACUCUAAGAACAUUCAUGGAAUAUUCCAUUAUAACUUAUUUAGAAAUACACAGUCAUUUACUGGAUUCUGUAAUAACCUCUAUGAGAGGAGUAACUUUGAGCUGAAACAGAAAAUCUUAAAAGCCAUCUUUUAUGAAUUAUUCAGAAAUCAAUAAUAAAGUUUAUGUCUUAAUACUGAAAAAAAUGUGUUCUAUUGUUGUAAUUGUAUAAGUUCAUACAUAAUGAAUAACUUCAAACAAGCAUUCAAAAUUUGAAGUUAAGAACAAGAAUUUCCUUUCCUUUGGUGAAAAUAGAACAAAUUUGGCAAAUAAAAUAAUUUAAAAUAAUAAGUUUUUCAAGCUUGUGGGAAGUAAAUUAUAUUGAGCCUAAAGUGUCUAUCAUUAUUUCAAUUUAAGUGCCUUCUGCACUCUUUCCUAUAUAUGUGAAUGUGCAUGUGUUUGUAAGUGCAACACACAAAAUAUAUACAGGACAAUGAAAUUCAUUCCCCAUUAAUAAAAAAAAGUUAAAAACACAAGGAACAACAACGAAAACUUCAAAUGAAUUCACCCCAUUGAAAAAUGCUUGAAUACUGUUUCUCCCGAAGCACCUGUAAAUGAAUAAAGGUUAUCCUCAUGAAGUCAGCUGCAAGAAAGACAUCUUUAGCUUAUGCCAUGCAGGACUGAUUCUUAACCAGCUCUGAAAGAAUCUUACCCACAGGGAGGAUUUCAUGUGAAAAUGUCACACCACAGCUGGAUAACACCAUUUAUAUAGGUGAUAGUAAUCACUGAUUUGGGGGCUAUCUUAAGAUGCCCUCAUUAUUUGGGAAUGAAGUCAGAAAAAAAGGUCAAAAUUUCAAACUAAAACAAGAAAAAAAGAAAUUAAACUGGGAAAAAUAAUGGGUCACGCAGUCAAGGAUGGAGUUUAUAAUUGUUACUGAGAUUAGGGUUUUUUUCCAAUCAAAUAAGUCAAAGAAUUUCUUCUUCCUUUCCUCUCUCCAAACCCAAUAAACUAUUCAGCUGUGUGAUGAUACAUGAAUUAACUGCUGUUUGAUGCAACAGAAGUUUUCUGCAUGGAUUCUAGAAAAAGGAAAGGUCGUAACAACUUAGUGUUACAUCUAUACUGUCCAAAGAAAGGUACAGAAUUAUUUAGAAUCAAUGGUUUAGACAGAGUACUUAUAUGGUGGAGAGCUGAAUCAGCCAUCCUUGUUUGAUAAAAAAUAUUCCUUUUGGAUACCAAACAAGAUUUCCUUUUAUACUGUUCUCACUAUGAAAUCAUCUGGUAUAUAAUUCAACUUUUUAAUGGAGCAAUACUAUGAUGUAUUUCUCCCAUAAUUGAAAUUCAAGUUUAUAAAUCACUUUAUUAUGAGUUUGUUUCAUAUAUUUAAGCACCGCCCCCCAGAGUUUAAUCAUCUGUAGAUGAAUUAGAAAAAGUGCUUCUAAAAUAGCAAAGCUGAGGAUAAGACCUUGGAGUGAGGUCCUAAUUUGCUCUCUUGAUGUAACUUUUAAGCUACAGCAGGUAGAAGUUAUCUUUCUAUAGUCUUAUUGACUUCUUUUAUUUAACAAAAGAGACCUCCCUCUGAAACAGUAACUCUCAAAAUAUUUUGAAGUUAACUAAGUAAAAAGUGCGUUUUACAUUAUGGCAUAUAUAAGUGUAUAUUAUGUGUAUAACUGAAAAAGAAGUUUGGCCAAACAAUGCUUAUCCCAACUAUAUGCAAAGCAUUCUGACAUUUCUUAUUCUAUUUCAUUAUUUAAAAUGUUGAUUACAGUUCACUAAACUUGAUUGCAUAGUAUACUCAUGAGUUGGGAACCAACCUUUGAAAGACAUUGCUCUCAAAUCCAGGCUACUUAUAUCGGAAAUAAUUCCACUGACAUUCCUUAGCUGAGAUCCCGUUUUCCCAAUGCAAGUCACUGUCCCUUAUUAGCUAAUGCAUUUUCUCUAGAAGAACAUUCCUGAAAUGUGCCCAGUUUUCUACAGCAGGUAUACUACUCCAGGUGCCUCACUAUUUCCGUAUUUAAACAAAACAUAAUCUUCAUUUCAAAGAGCAGAAAUCUUAUUCUGAGAAAAAUAAUAACAAUUGAAUAAACAGCUAAAGAAUAUAUUGAAAGGGGAAAAUAUCCUUCACUGGCAAUGAAAAGUAUGUAUUGUGUUCAGGUGGCUAUCCAAAAUUAAACUCUAUUUAGUUUUCACUUUUUAAAAAUCUGUGAUUCAUGCAGCAUCUCUGAAAGCAGACAUUGCCAUGCUCUGAGACAACACUUGAGCAGAUAUUAGCACUGUGCUAUGGUAAAUUUUUUAAAAAUCUUAUAAAAAUAUCUAGCUUAUUUUGUGUAACUUUCAGUAUUAAGGCAGCAUUUGAAGUCCUGACAACCAUAUUUGAUACAACUCUCGUAAAAUUUGAAACCAUUAUUAUUUAACACAAUUUUGCUAGGCUAAGUUUUGCUAUAACUCAUACUGAAGGUACUCUGUUAUAGAACUUGCUCUGUCCUAAAAUAUAUUAUCAUUGCCUAUUUAAACUGCUUUUCAGAUUCUAUUACUUUUAAACUUAAGCAAGCAUUACUUUAAAGGAGGAAAACUAUAUUAAUUCUGUCAAUGUGGAGAAAGGCUAUUUUCAAAACAGAUUGUUUAAUGUGAAGAAACUUAAUAUAGAACCUAUUAGAAAUGAGGUACAAGUCCUUUAAAAUGUUAGGGAUUUUUUGUUGUUUAAAAUGAAAGUUCUACCCAGGCUUACCUAAGCUUAUAGCCCAAGUGAAUAUUUAUAUAUGAAUUUAUAAAUCUUAGAAAUAGAGUUUUAUGGAAAUGCUAACAGGCCCUGAGGUAUGACUGAGCUUGUUUUCAGGUACUGCUAUAAUUUCCAGUGUGUGUAUGCUUAAAGACUGCAACACAAAAGACUUUUUCUAAUGCUGUAAUUUUGUAGUUUUAUUAGACUGAGUUAUAGUAUGGGAGAAUAUUCAGACAUUGCAGCUUAAAUGAGAAAACAUGAAUGGUGUUACUUAUAUAAAAUACUACUGCAAUAGUUCUUUUAUUAAUUUUUAAUGUUCAGCACCCUCUGUGACCUCCUUUAUUCUCUUGCUGUCAACAUGGCAGGCUGGAAAAAUUGAAAUGGGCUGACAGAAAACAUAGUGCAUGUUACAGCCCAACUCUGGAGUCUCUUGACUCUCUUUCUGUGGCACAUGCUAACGCGGUCCACGUUAUUCUGCAUUACAAUAAUAUUUAAGGCCCUGUUUGAUAGCUCCUGAUAAAAGCGAGCUGUGUCUGGAGCCUGAGCAGGUGCUCCUCGUCAGCCUUCUUCUUUCUGACAUUGUGGGAAUGGCAUUCAAUUAAAAGCAGAAUAUAACCGUUUUUGUUCUUCAUGGCUCACAGGCAUACUUCAUACUCUCAAAACUGAAUACCUCAGCAUGGAUAGAGCUUUAUUUGUGUCUGUCCAGCCUCUUCCAAAAGCACAUUUUGGUCUGAUUCAGCAAUGCUUUUCUUGAACAGUGGGGCACUGUUAUGUUAUGUAUAUUUACCACUUUCUCUAUCACCAAGGAGACUAAUCCCAAACCAGUACAGUCAAGAACCUUACAGCAUUGUCUUUGCAAGACCAAGUUCAUGUUGUCACAGUCACAGAGUGCACAGGGUAAAGAUACUGAACAGGACCUUGAGAUUAAAACCUCUCUUUCUUUUUCAAAUUCAAGCGUAUGCUGAUGAGAAAGAGCGUGCAAAGGUGUGAGGUCUGCAAAUGUCUUGUCAGCUGAUGCUUAAUUCAGUGUUUUAAUGGCUUGUUUGGGACAGUUGGGACAAGGUUUUUGAAGAAGGUAGAUGUCUAAAUUCUAGGAAGAAUGAAAACUAGUCCAGACCAUGAAAAAGAUAUUAUAAUGAGGGUACUUAUAUUUUUCUCUCAGAGGGCCCUCAUAUUAACCCUUACUAGUAAGUGGCAAAAGAACUGAGAGACGAUGAGAAAUUCUUAGGAAAGCAUGGACCACAAGAGAAUAGAAUUUGUGCAAGACCUUAUCUUGAUAUUCUCUCAUCCUGUGCUGUCACUUGAGCUUUCAUAUUCAAUCCGUUCUGUCAUAACUAUUAGGAAUAUUGAUCAGCUAUGAGUUAUAAGAAUUUGGGAUCAUAAAGGGCACAAAACUCUUGCAACAUGACCUUCUGAUUUUUCAGCAACCUCCAAGAAAGCACAAUGCAAGAAGUGGGCAACACCUACCAGACACUCCUCCAUAUGUAGUUCGCUUUGCAAUCCCCACUGCUGGCCAAGGUGUGCCAUCAGAUUUUAAUCCCAUCAGACCUGAGACAGUGUUGGUGGCUGUAACGCCAUUGGCACCACCUAUGCAAGACACAUCAACAUUUUCAUGCAGCUCUUAUAAGACACGAUAGUUAAAACCCAUUCAAACCCUCACAUCCCAGAAAAAUGCAUUCUAUUUUAUCUUGAGAACAUGUCUUCUCCUCAAAGUUCUUCACUAAUUUAACUCCUACAUUUAUGUUUAAAAUUUUAAACAUUAAAGAAGUUUUAAUUACCACAACUUUACUUUCUCAAAUAUUAUACAGACUUGUUGUUACCAAAUGUUUUGUAUUUGGUGUUAUUUUCCAGGUAAUUUACAAUGUCUUUGCAAGUCAGGGUGCAAUUUCCCUGGGAUGGAACACAAGCACGCAUGAUUUUUGUAUUCAACAGAUAUUUAUUGAGCAUGUGUUUAAGGAAGUCAGCUAGGCCCUACAAAAUAUGAAGAGAACUCAUAAGAAAUUUCACAUUGUGCAAAUUGAAUUUUCUUUUUUUCUUUUUUACUCAUUAAAGUUUAAUAUAUUGAAUUGUUACAUUAUGAGGUCAUUUAUUUUGGACGGGUUUGCUGUGACUGUGUUUUUUGUUCUUAUAAUGUGUGAAAUAAGUGUUUAUUAGGAAAAACUAUAAAGGAUCUUGUGUUUCCAGAUCAAAAUUCAUGGUCAAUUUGCUAGCAUGAGUCCAGGUGUAAAUCUCCUGUGUUUGUGGGAUCAAGUGCUCAACUGGAAACUUUUAAAAUUGAGACAAAAAAUAUGCACAUGUUUGUAGGAAAAGACAUACUUGAGUAUGGCUACAUAAUGUGGGCCAAUAUUUACAAUAGCGGGCAACUGAUUCAAGUCAAGUUCUUACCUUCCUUUGCAGCUCUUGCGAUGCUCACAAUAUCAGUGACAUUUGGGGUCAGCUUGGCAAAAAAAGGAAUCUGAACAGCUUGCCUAACCCAGCGGCAGAUGUUCCGCACCAGCUCUGGAUCCUGUUCAAAUAGGCAAGCCAGCUGCUGACUAAUCAUCACAGCCAAGGGAAUCCCAUGUUGCAUCAAAGAAAUGGAAGCAGGGCUCAGACCCUGCAUGGUAGAGGGGGCUCUGCAAUUUAAAGGGUUAACUUUCUGCAAUGUUGAGGAGUCGCAUAACUUUUCACGAGAACUGAUGAGUAGAUAUGCUAAAGUAACUAAGUUCUGAAAACGUCUAAGAAAAAUACAUGCAGAAGCAGGCAACUGCAACAGACACAGACAUGAACCACUCGGAUCUACCUUCAGGAACAGACUCUGGCCCAGCUGCAGGAGUGUGGUGAGCUGACUGCCUCUAACUGCUUCCUCCUUUAGGUGUGCCUCGCUUUUAAACUGGGGUCAUGCUCCUUUCAGGGAGACCCCAGUGAAUGAUAGCAAAACUGUAGUACAAGGGUCUAGCUAUUUCCGGUGAAUGUGGGACUCCUCUAAUAGGCACUUUUUGUCCUGAAGCUCCCUACUGGGCUAGCAAAGACUUUUCUUGUGUCUGUAUCAGGGUCCAAUGGCUCCCCUUUUCCAAUUUUGCUUCCACUUUUUUCCUUUCACAAGCAUUUCUCUCCAAUAAACCUUUGGCCCUCCUAACUCCCUCUCUGUGUCUGAUUCCUGGAGGACUCAACUGACACAACAGUUCUCUACUUGUAUGAAGAAUUCUCCCUGUAAGAGGAUUACGCUAUAUUCUAGGAAAGUCAAAGAAGAAAGAAACUUGCCCAAGUGACCCCAG
rnacentral:lncRNA from 10 species